UACGUAGGUGGCAAGCGUUGUCCGGAAUUAUUGGGCGUAAAGCGCGCGCAGGCGUUUCUUUAAGUCUGAUGUGAAAGCCCACGGCUCAACCGUGGAGGGUCAUUGGAAACUGGAGAACUUGAGUACAGAAGAGGAAAGCGGAAUUCCACGUGUAGCGGUGAAAUGCGUAGAGAUGUGGAGGAACACCAGUGGCGAAGGCGGCUUUCUGGUCUGUAACUGACGCUGAGGCGCGAAAGCGUGGGGAGCAAACAGG
rnacentral:rRNA from 1 species